UUAAUCGGAAUUACUGGGCGUAAAGCGCACGCAGGCGGUUGAUUAAGUCAGAUGUGAAAUCCCCGAGCUUAACUUGGGAACUGCAUUUGAAACUGGUCAGCUAGAGUCUUGUAGAGGGGGGUAGAAUUCCAGGUGUAGCGGUGAAAUGCGUAGAGAUCUGGAGGAAUACCGGUGGCGAAGGCGGCCCCCUGGACAAAGACUGACGCUCAGGUGCGAAAGCGUGGGGAGCAAACAGGAUUAGAUACCCUGGUAGUCCACGCUGUAAACGAUGUCGACUUGGAGGUUGUGCCCUUGAGGCGUGGCUUCCGGAGCUAACGCGUUAAGUCGACCGCCUGGGGAGUAC
rnacentral:rRNA from 1 species